AUUCAGCUAGAGUCCCAAAUGAGACGAAACGCACGUCCUGGAU
rfam:Schistosoma haematobium scaffold283_28, whole genome shotgun sequence.